UCUUUUUUUUUCUCCUACUGUUUUCUGGAUCUGCCAGGCCACAUCACUGCCACAAGAACAACGUUCUCUGGAAUAAUUUUUACACUUCUAGUGCUACUCCCAGCCCAAAGCAAGAAGUACAAAGGAACUAUUCAACGGGCUCUGCGUUUGUGUGGGAAGCUACAGCUGGCAGAUGUCAGUUCUUUACGGAGAAAAGAGCUCAUCUAGGCGUGAAACAAAAUCCUGCAUAUCUUACUAGUGAAUGCUUCCUCUGAAGUUUCAGAGCAUACAAUGUGACUAAGAAGUGGUGACAGCAGCCCUCAUUGAUUCAUACAUCAACUUGUGAUAUUGGGCUCAGUC
rnacentral:lncRNA from 1 species